rnacentral:antisense_RNA from 1 species
CGCGAGUUUUAUGACUUAAAAAACCCCACAGGCUGGUCUGAAGAGGAAGACAAACAUAAAGAUGAAGUGCUUAAUUCAAGGUCACACAAUGUCGGGGAUGGACCUCCAGAUUUCCUUACUGACCUGCAUUAUCUUGUGGAUACCUGAGUGAAUUCCACACCACCCAUUUUAUAGAUGAAACCACUGAGACAUGGAGCAACUGACUGAGUAGUCACUGCCCCACCCCUGCCUGGAGCCUCACACAUGACUCGUCUCCUCUCAGUGACCACAGGUUGGUUGAGGGGUUUAACAAGGCUAAGAAGGUGAGACGUGGUCUUGUAACACAGUGGUUAAGAAUGUGACUUUGGAGCCAGCCUGCUAGGGGCUGAAUUCUGACUCAGCCAUUUACUAACUGUGUGACCUUAGGGAGGAGGACCUGGUUGAUAGAAGAAUUUAUCUCGUAGUCUUAACAUCCACUGUAAUUCCAAACUUUGAGGACGAUAGAGAUCAGUGGGCUUUGACUGCCCAGCAUGCAGUCUCCAUUCUUAGGUGGGUUCCCAAGCCUGUAAAAUGUAAGCCUUAUGCUGCUGAGGGCCAUCUUGCCACCCUGAGGGAAACGCUGCCUGAGAAUGAAACCAGCAUAAGUAAAAGCUGAGCUGUGAGAUGGAGCAAGAUGAAGGCCACAUGACAUCUUUGGAGCACCUGGAUCUAACUGUGCCUUAAGCUAGUCUAACCCUGAACAUUUCAUCAUUUCAUUGACAUGAGCCCAGGUUUUCUUUUUUUUUGGAUGGAGUCUUGCUCUGUCGCCCAGGCUGGAGUGCAGUAGCUCAAUCUCGGCUCACUGCAAGCUCCACCUCCCGGGUUCACGCCAUUCUCCUGCCUUAGCCUCACAAGUAGCUGGGACAACAGGCGCC